AUAUUAUGACUUGGGCACCUGCGUAAUAAAAUUUUAAACCUUUCCCAUGAAUUAUACAAUGAUUCAGUUUCCUGCUGCUCAAAAUUUGUAAUUUCUUCUCUUCGUUC